rnacentral:rRNA from 1 species
CAUGCAAGUCGAGCGAGGUACAGGGCUUCGGCUCUGUACCUAGCGGCGAACGGCUGAGUAACACGUAAGUAACCUGCCCUCCAGUGGGGGAUAACCCCUCGAAAGAGGGGCUAAUGCCGCGUGCGUUCCCGGAGGGAAGUUCUCCGGGAGGAAAGCCCUCGGGCGCUGGAGGAGGGGCUUGCGGCCUAUCAGGUAGUUGGUGGGGUAACGGCCUACCAAGCCUACGACGGGUAGCUGGUCUGAGAGGAUGAUCAGUCAGACGGGGACUGAGACACGGCCCCGACUCCUACGGGAGGCAGCAGCGAGGAAUCUUGCGCAAUGGGCGAAAGCCUGACGCAGCAACGCCGCGUGGGGGAAGAAGGCUUUCGAGUCGUAAACCCCUUUUGCAGGGGAAGAAGAUCUGACGG